rnacentral:rRNA from 1 species
GAUGAACGCUAGCUACAGGCUUAACACAUGCAAGUCGCGGGGCAGCAUGGGGGUUGCUUGCAAUCCCUGAUGGCGACCGGCGCACGGGUGAGUAACGCGUAUCCAACCUGCCCUUCACCACGGGAUAACCCGGCGAAAGUCGGACUAAUACCGUAUGUUGUCCAUUGACGGCCUCCGAUUUGGACGAAAGGCUUAGCGGUGAGGGAUGGGGAUGCGUCCGAUUAGCUUGACGGCGGGGUAACGGCCCACCGUGGCUACGAUCGGUAGGGGUUCUGAGAGGAAGGUCCCCCACACUGGAACUGAGACACGGUCCAGACUCCUACGGGAGGCAGCAGUGAGGAAUAUUGGUCAAUGGGCGUAAGCCUGAACCAGCCAAGUAGCGUGCAGGAUGACGGCCCUAUGGGUUGUAAACUGCUUUUAGGCGGGGAUAAAGGGACCCACGUGUGGGUUUUUGCAGGUACCGCAUGAAUAAGGACCGGCUAAUUCCGUG